rnacentral:rRNA from 1 species
AUUGAACGCCGGCGGCAGGCCUAACACAUGCAAGUCGAGCGGGGUUUUCGGACCUAGCGGCGGACGGGUGAGUAAUGCGUAGGAAGCUGCCCGAUAGAGGGGGAUACCAGUUGGAAACGACUGUUAAUACCGCAUAAUGUCUACGGACCAAAGUGUGGGACCUUCGGGCCACAUGCUAUCGGAUGCGCCUACGUGGGAUU